rnacentral:lncRNA from 1 species
UGUAAGCAUUAUUUUGUUCAUCAAUUUGUUCCAUGCGCACAAAUUGAGAUUCUUUGAGCUGUUUAGACGCUACUUCCCACUGAACUCGUGAUUUACCUCUUAGAGCCCUUCCCACUGUCACAAGUGCUAUAGGCAAGCCUUGGCAUUCUCUCGCAACCUCCCUUGCCACUGUGUUCAAGGUAGAGUCCCCAUCACGUAAACCUGCAUUGAUACUGAAUAAAUCCCACGCUUCAUCUUCAGGUAAGACUCUUAAAUGCACUUUUUGCUGGCACUCCAUAGAAAAACAUAUGCCUUGAACACGUGUUGUUAGAAGAAUUUUACAACCCCUGUGAUCAUCACCAAAUGGGAUCCCUAUCUCUUUCAAGUCAAUAUGUUUCCAAACAUCAUCCAGGGUUAUAAGCAUCUUCUCCACUUUCUUCAGUCUCUGCCGUAAUCGAUCUGCUCUCCCUUCUUUACUGUUUUCUUCAAUUUUCAAACCUAACAUAUCUGCCAUUCGGUUCUGAAUGUCUAUGACAUUUGGAUUCUGCGACACCGUAGCCAUCAAAACUUCAUCAAAAAGCUGCGACUCUCUGGCUAUCGUGCCUACUCUUUUCACCAGGGUGGUUUUACCCACCCCUCCCAUGCCGUACAGUCCGAUCAUAUUGGCGUUGUCAUCUUUGCGAGCUUUCAUAAUCUGUUCCAAAGCUUCUUUUGAAGAUUCUGAGGGCGUGAAUUCCUUUGAUGGAAGAAAUUCUAUGGGCUGAGGAGGAAAUUUGUGGGCCACUUUUGUAAACUUUGUUUCUGAAAGUCUCCGACUCCUUGGCCAGUGCCUUGCUUAACUUGAAUUGUCGAAUGCAGUUUGGACACCAAGUGAAGCAUUUGCCAUUUUUUCCUAUUUCUUUUUCCAAGGGCUUCGCACCUUCAAUUUUGCUGUUUGCAUCUUCCAUCCACUUUUUGACACCUUUCUUAAUUUCUUCAGCAUUCCUUUCAGCAGCUUCGACUUCUUUUUGCAGACCAUCUAGUGCUAAAGCAAGGUUCUCCUUUUGUUCUUUGAAUUCUUCAACAAAAUUGUUGAAACAGAACAUGUAACGGAACUGCCUUCCUACUGGUUCCACCAUGAGUUCUGCUAUCUUAGAUAUAAUGGAUCCACCCACACUUUCGAGAGCCAUUUUCCACCAGUCUGAAAAUCAGAGAAAUGAGGAUACAGGACGUGAGAGUGAGUCACUACAAGUAAAACAGGCGCAGAGAGAAUGGGAAUAGGAAUUCCAUUACCGUAAUUUGGGAAAAUAUGCGCGGAAAGCACUGGUACUGAGAGCUCAAUGAAAUAGCGGGAGGAAGAAAAGGAGAAGGCCUUUAGCUCUGUAUGGAAUCCAGCUUCAAAAGCAACAAGGCAAGGUAUAAGGAUUCUAACUGACACUUGUGAGUUAAAGCAGUAAUUCCCAUUAAAAAUGCAUUUUGAUGACAUAAUUAAGAUCAUAUUGAGACAGUGGCAAACAAAAAAUAAAUGUAUAAAAGUACUCACCUAGCAAAGAAAGAAACGAAUGAAAGGUUCAGGAUAAUCACUUAGCUCGCUUCCAACAACAAAUAUAAUUAAUUAAUCUAAGCUAUGAUCGGUCAAAGUUUUUUUUAGUUUUAUUCUUUUUUUAAAAAAAAAAAAACAGGAAAAAACUUGCAAAGAAAUAGAAUUACUGGAAUGAACACAAUAAAAGAUGAAACUCAAGCAAUUAAAAAUAAAUUAUCUAUGAUGAUCAUGUCUGUGUCACACUCAAUGAGGUAAUCACUAUUACAAUAUUAAAUAAAUAAAUAAAAGCUAAAAGAACUAGGUUUUUGGUGGCAUCCAGAGUGCGGUUACUUUCUUCAUCCUUCUUUUGUGGUUUUAUUUUAUUUCAGUCCUUCAAAUCUUUUUCUUUUGCUAUUUCAUCGAGUUGCUUUGCUCUUGAGUUGAUGUGCUUGCCCUAGAAUAUGCAUUAUGCUAGGGAUUACAAUUACAUUACAUAAGAAAUUAUACUUACAGAUUAUAAUUAAAAUUUUCAGUUUUUUUUAAACAAAUUUAUGAGAAAGUACCAAUAUUACAACGUGAGUAAAUGAUAGGAGAAUUUUAAAUCUUUUUGUGACAUGGUGACCAGCUGAUCCAAGUAACCAAUAGAUUAUCGCCACUUGUUCAACCUGAUCUGCACUUUAAGAUAGGGGUAGUCAUAACUAUUCCUCGUUUUGUUUGAGGAAAAAUAAUUUUUUUAAAAAUAAAUUUUAAAUUUUUCUAUAUUUAUUUGCUAUUAAAAAAAUUAAUCAAUAAAAAAUAUUUUUUAGUAAAAAAAAUUAGUUUUAUUUUUUAAAAAGUAUUUUUCUUUUAUUUUAGGCGGAAAAUACUUUCCAGAAAUUGUGAAAAAUUUAGAAAUAUCAUAUUAUUUGUUGAUUAUAACAAAUUGGAUCCUCAAACUUUUAAUUGCUAUAUAUUUUGUUUUGAAUAUUUUUGUUUUCAAUUUCAUCUGUUAUAAUUUGAUUUUAUAUUAAAUUUGAUCCUUAUUUUUAUGAUUGUUAUUUGUUUUUCUCUUUUUAUUUUUUUAAUUGAAAUUUUUUAUUUAUCAAAUUUGAUCAUCAUUCUUUUGAUUGUUAUUUAUUCUAUUUGAAAUAAUUUAUGAAUAGAGGGAGAGGUUGUUGGAGGCAGAAAAGGAAAGACUACGAUACUAUUUUUCUCUAUAUUUUGAGUUUUAGUUGUUAACAGCCAUGCUCGUUUGAUUUUAUUUUAUUUUUAUUUAUUUUUUUCAUGCUCUUGCAGAUAAGGCAGGAAAGGAGGACCUGAAAUCACGACAGCGAAUAAGGAGAGAAAUAGCGUGUUUGUUUUUUAUUUUUGAAAUUAUUUUUUUAUAAAAUUAUUUUUUUAUUCUAAAUUAAUUUUUUGUAUUUUUAAAUUGAUAUUAAAAAUAAUUUAAAAAAUAAAAAAAUAUAUUAUUUUAAUAUAUUUUUAAAAUAAAAAAUAUUUUUAAAAACAACUACUUAUUCAAUCACUUAAAAUAAAAACCUUAAAAUCACGGCAUGAUAAAAGGAGGAAGAAAGGAAUGGGACAAAGGAGGAAGAAAAUAAGGUCACGUAUAAAAUAGAAGAUGAAAAUUAGUAUGAAAAAGAGGCUAUUUGUUUUUUUAAUGUGUCAGAGUGGUUUUUAUAAUUAUAUUUAAUUUAUAAAAAUAUUAAAUUAAUAUAUUUUUAAAUAUUUCUUGUUAUUAUUAUAUAUAUAUAUAUAAUAUUCUAAUAUUUUUUUAAAUAAAAAAUUAUUUUAAAAAAAUAUGUGUCACAAUACUAAAUUAUAGUACAAAUUAAAAUAUAAAAGAGUUUUCUAUUACUAUUUACCAAGACUUAUUUUGUUGUGGAUGUGGAUAUUAAUAGUGAAUUUUUUUAAAAUUUUCAAUUUGAUAUUUGAAUUUUUUUUUUUCAUAAUCGAAUCUCUUUAUGCCCAAAUUAAAACUCAAUUGCAUUUUGUUUUUUAAGUAUAAGAGUUGAAUUCAAAGAUAGAUGACUGAAAUGAAAAACUUGGUAAAAAUAUGCGGCGACAUUGUAAUUGUUUGCAAAGUUCAUUUUAGUCCCUUAUCUUUUUGAGCUACUAAGUAACAUGUCCCUAUAAUUUCUCAACAUUACAUUUUAUCCAGAAUCUCAGAUUAUGCUCUACGGACUAAACUAAAUUUUUCAUAAAUUGAGAGACCAAACUGAAAUUUAUCAUUUUCAAUCUUAAACCUAGAAUUUUCACAUAUCACCUACUGAUAUAACAAGAUUUCUAACUCAAAUUCACCAUUUAAACAAACCAUAACUCAAAAUCAUCAUUUUUACUUAAAGUCUUUCAAAAUCAACUAAAUAACUCAUUAUUCAUAACAAUCAACACAUAAUAUUCAAAUCAAUUCAUCAAUCAAACCCAAAACACAAUCUUCAAAACUCUAAUAUUCAACAAAACAGAAAAUUAAAGCUAAGAAAAACACAUUUAUACACAUCAAAGCGUAAAUAUUCUUACAUUUUAAUUUAUUUUCUCUAACUCUCUUAUCCUUUUGUUUAUCUUUUUCUCUUUUCUCUUUUUCUUCUUUCACUCUCACGGUUUUUUCUCUAAGAAUUCAAAUCUUUCUCUUUUUUAUUCUAUUUAUAUUUAUGAACUCUUUGUUCAAUUACUACAAUAUCGUUCAUUCAUUUAUACCUACUUUUAAGCCUCCAAGAGUUUUGUUGUUUUUUUCUAUUCUCUUUUAUUUCCAAAUCAUCACAAUAAAAUUGUUUUCUUUUUAUUAAGCUGCUAAUUUAUGCAGCUUUAGCUCUUGUUCUCUCUUCUUGUCUUGCUAUUCUGAUUUUAUCUUUUUCUUUACAUGAUAUAAGAGCAGGUUCUUACCUCUUGAAGUCUGCUGGAUAAACCUAUCAGCAGAAGAUCCUGAAGCGAUCCCAAAUCACAGCUUCAAUCCCCACCACAACCAAUCUCCUCUUUCCCGUAGUCUGUCGUCCUCAAUUGGGAAAUGAUCUCAAAAAAUCACUUGAUGCAACAAGUAGGGUAGAGAAAUAUAAGACUUCAACAAAGAAUCAAACUCAAAAAAAUAAAAGUAAUUGUCUAUGAGAAGCAUUUCUGUGUCACACACUCAAGUAAUAUGAUUGACCUAUUACAUUAUACAAAUUAACAAUAAUAAUAAUAAUAAUAAUAAUAAUAAUAAUAAAAGAACUAGGUUUUUGAUGGCAUCCAGAGUGCUGUUACUUUCAAACAAAGAGGCUUGUGCAUGCGGUGUUAUGCUGUUCGUGUAGGCUAAGAUCUCCUAUGAAUACAUUUGUAAAAUCAUACAAUUGUAUUCUUUUUAUUAAGCUGCUAAUUUAUGCAGCUUUAGCUCAUAUUCUCUCUUCUUGUUUAGCAAUUCUGAUCUGAUCCUUUUCUUUGCAUGAUAUAAGAGCAGGUUCUUACCUCAUGAAGUCUGCUGGAUGAACCUAUCAGCAGAAAAUCCUGAAUCAAUCCCAAAUCACAGCUUCAAUCCCCACCACAAUUACCAAUCUCCUCUUUCCUGUAGUCUUUCGUCCUCAAUUGGAAAAUGAUCCAAAAUCAACAACCAGUUCGGAGAUAGUCUGUGUGAAAAUAAACGGCUGAGAGAUGAAAUGUGAAGGUUAUGGUGAGAAAUUAGAUGACAAACUUACUUUGUCCUACUAAUGCUUUUGCUUUCAUUGUUUCAACAAGUAAAAGAGACAUAAGCAUAAUCAUAAGAAUCCUGUUUUUUCUAUUUUUUUCACCUAUUUAUACAUCAAAAAAUGGCAGUUUUUCUUGUCCUUUCUUUUUAAAAUCUUAUGCCUUGGGUGAGGAAAUUAGUGGAGCAUAAGACGUUUUAAAAGACAACAAAAAGAAGCAAUGUCUCAUCUUUUGAUAUGGUGGUCUUCCAUGAUCAGUUUGUUGAUGAAGAUAUCGAAAGAUUCGAGUCUCCGUUCUAGCUCAGGUUGGAAGCUAGGCCGAAGGCUAAGCUUCUUUUAAUUAUGAAUUGUUUAUGCAAAGGAAACCCAGAAGCUUGAACAAACAGAAAUGCCUUGUUGAUUUCUCUGCUACUACUCAUUAUUUCCAAUAUUAUUCCAUUAUCUUACCCGAAAGCAAUUAUACAAGAAAUUUCAUUAUCCUGCCCCAAAGGCAAUUUAUUACAAGGACUUCCUUUAACCUCCUUGAAGGCAAUUUAUUUGAUGAAAAUUCCUUUAAUCCACCUCAAAGACAAUUUAUCUUAGGGAAUUCCAACGACCCAGGCAAUUUAUUUGCUGAAAUUCCUUUAACCUCCUUGAAGGCAAUCAAGAUUUUAAAUUAAAAACCAUCUAGGUGGUGGCCCAGUGGUAAGAACCUGGGACCAAGAGGUUUGCUCAUCUGCAUAAUUAAAUAGUACUGUUACUGUAAACUACUAGGAAAUUCAUGCGUAGAGCCAAAAUGUUAACAAUAGCACAACGACCCAGGCAAUUUAUUUGCUGAAAUUCCUUUAACCUCCUUGAAGGCAAUCAAGAUUUUAAAUUAAAAAGCCAAAAAUGAACGCAUCUACUCUUGCAAGAAUGGACUCAAAAGGUCAGCUAAUCCGCAUAAUUAAAUAGUACUGUUACUGUAAACUACUAGGAAAUUCAUGCGUAGAGCCAAAAUGUUAACAAUAGCAUUGAUUCGGUCAGGGGCUCUGGUGUAUAGAGAGGACCUUGCCGUUAGAAACUAUGAACCCACUAUUUAUUAAUCCAUUUCUAUUUAGUACUAUUUACUAUUUAUUUAUUUUUAUUUACUAUAUUUCUGUAUGUGAUACCUAAGUACCAAUAAAAUUUGAGAUUCCUUCAAUUUUUUAGGUGCAUGUACAAAAUCAAUUCAAGAGUGUGUAUCCUUAACUAUAUAUCAGGCUAACCUUUACAGGCUGAGCUAGCAAUCGAUAAUUAAUUUUUAAUGAAUUCAUUUUUUAUUUAAAAUAAGGAAAAGGACAUUGUUACACCUUAACUAUUAUAAUUGUUACACCUUACCAAAGGGUUAAUUUAGAAAAAAAUUAUCAACUUACAGGUCACUGGCCGAGGUCAACUUAUGAUUAAGUAGAUCAAUUUAAAUUAAUUAUUUUUAUUAAAAUGAUAAUGUUUUGUUUUUUUUUUUCUUGAUAUUAAUUUGGCUAAUUUUUAUCAAAUCAAAUCACUAAAAACUUAAUCAAAUUAAAUUUCAUCAAAUCAAUAAUAUUUGAUGUAGUUGAAUUUUAUAUAUAUAUAUAAAUAUUUGAAAAUAAUUUAAAAAUGAUGUUUUCAUUAAUACCCAUUCUCAAUGUUUUUUUUGCCUUAUUUAGCUUUUUUUUCAAUUAGUUUUAAUUUUAUUAGCUUGGUUUAGUUUUUUAAGAGGUUAAUAUGAUUUAUUUGUAAUUUGUUUUAUAUAUUUCAGAUAUAUUAAGUAUUUUUUUUAUGUGUGUGUCAAUUUCUUUUAUAUAUUUAUUUUAGUAAAUAAAUUUAUUAAAUAUAACCAGAGAAAUGACUUUUUUAAUCUAUAUUUGUUUCUUAAUUUCUUAAUUUUUCCACCUGCUUUUUUAACUAUUGAUAAUGACUUUUUAUUAUUAUUAUUAUUCACACAAUAUAGUGCUGACACCCGCAGGUUGAGACUUGAGUAAACGAAAAUGAAAUAUUUUGGGUGUCUAUCUCCUAGUUAUGGUAUUAUUAAUAUUUGAGGGUUUUGAUUUGGAAUAAUUAGUGAAGAUUUAAUUAGAACUUAGCCAUGUACUUUAUUAAAAUUAAUUAUUUAGUCCUUAAAGUGUCAUGGAUAAUUAAAAAGUCUAUUAACUAGUGUUGACCACCCUCCAUUUACUAUGUUUUUCUCUAAAAAAUGCCUUCCUUCCUAAUGAAAUUUCCGCAACUGCAUCAGAUGUUUAUUCCCGUUCAAAUGCUCGCAACAGGGAAAGCAUAUGAUAAAGAGAAUGGAACAAGAUUCUUGUCUAUGGAGGGAAUCAAUGCUUCAACUUGCCUUGUGAUUUGCUUUAAUAAGAUUUUUUUUUAUAUAAAAAACAACUUUUAAAUUAUAAUUAAAAGUAAAAUAUCAUAAAUUUAUUUUAUAUUAAAAACCGAAUUCAUUAAACAUAACCAGGGUUGUUUAUUUUUUGUAAUGACUUUGUUUUUUAUUUAUUUAUAUAAUAAUUCAUGAUUUAUUUAAUUCGAUGCGUGCAUAAGUUUUUUAAUUUAUAUUUAGAAUUUUUCUUAAUGUAAAAAAAACAUGUUCAUAAAUUUUUAUUUUUAUGAUUUCAGUUUGAUUCUUAUUUUUAUGAUUUUUUAUGUUUUUUCCUUAUCCUUUUAUAAAAGUUUUUUUGUUUAUAAUUUCACCCUUCAAUUCAAUAUGAUGGAGUAAUUUUUUUUUUCAUUUUUUGCUUUAUAUUGUUGCCUCUCUCCUUUUGGGAAUAUUGUUGCCUCUCUCCUUUUUUUUUUUUUUUUUUCAUUUUAUCAGCUUUUGCAUGUGGAAUAUUGAGUCUUCUAUUUUUUAUCCACAGAAUUGAAUCCUUUAUAUAUUCUUAAAACUAGAUUUGAAUUCUAAUGAAGGAAUAAUAAAGAUUGUUGCAUGUACAAAUUCUCCUUCAAAAAAAUAUAAUAAAGUAUCAUGGAUUUAAGUAUAACUUAGCCCUGUAAUUUAUUAAAAUUAAUUAUUUAGUACGUCCUUAAAGUAUCAUGGAUAAUUAAAAAGUCUAUUAACUAGUGUUGACCACCCUCCAUUAAUUAUAUUUUUCUCUAAAAAAUGCCUUCCUUCCUAAUGAAAUUUCUCCAACUGCGUACUUUUCUUUUCCUUAUUCUAAUUUUUAAGAAAGAAGAAAAAACAUAUUAAUUGGAAAAGAACUAAACAAUAUGUAACUUUAAAAAUAUAAGAAUUAAACAUAUAGUUAUUGAAACUAUGGGAUUAAUUAAUUAUUGUUAUCAAAUUAUAGAGAAUAAAUUAUAAUUGAAUAAGUGUUUGUGUGGAGGAGUGUUUGCAAAUACCAUGGGAGAUGCGAUUUGUAUUAUUAAUUUAGUUGUUGGUAUAAUAGUCCAAAUAUUGUGACGACCAUUUUAUAGAAAUGAGCACAAUGUUUUUAGAAUAUUUAUAAAAAUUGACUUAAACCAAUCAAAAAAAUGAUUUUUGAGUUUGUUAAACAAUUUUAAUAAAAAUAAUAAAAAUAUAAAAUAGAAUUGAAUUGGUUGGAUAUGACCCAAACUAAAUUAAAUAAAAAAACUUAACCAAGCUAUAUUUCAAUGAUCUUGGUAUGGAUUUGUUUUUAUAAAAAAAACAUGUUCAUCCUUUUUUAAACUUCUUGUGGCCUGUUCAUUCAUACUUUAUUAAUAUUUAAAUUAUUUUUUUAUAUUUUUUAAAUUUGUUUUAAUGUUAUGAUAUUUUUUAAUUUUGUUUUGAUUGAUACAUAAAAAUAUUGUUUUUAUUGAUUAAAUUUUAUUUGGAAUUAUUGUUGAUAUUACAAAGACUUAUUUAUUCCUAUUCAGUUGAUAAUGACUACUUAGAUUUUGUAAAAAGAGUUACUUUCUUUAAUAGCCAAUUGAAUGAUUUUUUAUGAGAAAAAUAAAACAUCUUUUGAUGUGAAAAAAAGACACCAUGCACCGUCGUGUGAUACGAUGCUUUUUUUCUUGUGGCAUGUUUUUGAUGCUUUUGAUACGAUGUUCUUCCAGGAAUUUUUUAUCUUUUUAUUAGGCGGUCUAAGAUGCACAGUCGUGUGUGUGUCUAUAUAUAUAUAUAUAUAUAUAUAUAUAUAUGUAUGUAUAUAUAUAUAUAAGUCAUCGAUGCAUGUUUUUAUUUGGUAUUCAAUUCAAUUUCAUAAACAUUACUUUACUCUCUAAUUAAAUUGCUGCAACUAUAUAUAUUAUACCCUUAACCAGACUAUUAGUUUACCAUUCCUGACUAGCUAUCGUAUCCUUUUGGCAAGAAUCAUUGCCAAUUACUUUAUUCGUAGUAUGUAAGAGUCAUUAUCCAACCAUUUUCAAUUCCAUUUCAAAUCACUUUCUUUGAUAAAUUAGUUUAUAAAAUAUUUUUACAAAAACUCCAUACCAUACAUCUAAACAUCACAUAUGUUCAAAUUAAUUUGAACAUAGCAAGUGUUAUAUCUUCUUUUAAAGAUUGUAAAGGACAAAUAUACAAUUACAUUUUCCUUUUUGGGUCUCAAUUACAUUUGCAUUUACAUAUUGUUCACCUAGUAAUUUCUUUUAUAAAAUUUAUAAUAAACUCAAAAAAAUAAAUAGUACGAGAAACAAAGUUGAUAGACCCAACCGAGAACAUGCUCACGAGUUUAAAUAUCUUAAUUUUAGUUUGUAGAACAUAAAGAGAAAUAGAAUUGAUCCAUUAUUUUGUUUGCAGAACAUAAAUGAGAAAGCAACGUCAAUAUAUAAACUUAAUUAAUAAAUAUAUAGUUGGUUUUGUUUUACAAUAAAGAAUUAUUUUGUUCUAUAAAAGAGUAAUUGAAUUUUAUAAAUAAAAACACGAAAUUAUUUAUUUCCAUGCAAGAUGAAGUCAAGAUUCACCACUUAUUUGUGUGAGGCAAAAUAAUAAUAAUAAUAAUAUUAUUAUUAUUAUUAUUGUUAUUGUUAUUGAAUAAGAUGAAGUCAAGAUUCACCACUUAUUUCCAUGCAAGAUGAAGUCAAAUUUCAAAGUUCCCUUUACAAAUCGGUUGGAUAUGGCCCAAACUAUAUUAUACCCUUAACCAGACUAUUAGUUUACCAUUCCUGACUAGCUAUUGUAUCCUUUUGGCAAGAAUCAUUGCCAAUUACUUUAUUCGUAGUAUGUAAGAGUCAUUAUCCAACCAUUUGGUAUUCAAUUUCACGUUCUUUGAUAAAUUAGUUUAUAAAAUAUUUUUACAAAAACUCCAUACCAUACAUCUAAACAUCACAUAUGUUCAAAUUAAUUUGAACAUAGAUAGCAAGUGUUAUAUCUUCUUUUAAAGAUUGUAAAUGACAAAUAUACAAUUACAUUUUCCUUUUUGGGUCUCAAUUACAUUUGCAUUUUCAUAUUGUUCACCUAGUAAUUUAUUUUAUAAAAUUUAUAAUAAACUCAAAAAAAUAAAUAGUACGAGAAACAAAAACAAGAAACAAAAUUGAUAGACACAACCGAGAACAUGCUCACAAGUUUAAAUAUCUUAAUUUUAGUUUGCAGAACAUAAAGAGAAAUAGAAUUGAAUAUGAUGAUGAUGAUUUCUUUUUUCAUUUUCAGGAGACCUAUAAUAGCCGGUUGAGGGAGAGAUAUGGGGACGAUCCUUUGACCCUCCGGAUUUCGAUCCGGAUUUGUGGAUGGAGGUCGGAUCGUUCGGUGGACUCGAUAAAAAUCGGCUGUACGGGCUCUCCAACACUACGACCGAGAACUUGCGGUCGGCCCGUAGUGUCUCAACUGUUGGGAGCUCCAAAUCAGUAUCGAGCACCCAAUCUGAGGAUAUCAUGACCUUGAAACAACACACAGCUAAUCUCACCGAGAAAUACGAGCAACUCUUGGCAAAUUAUGAUCAACUCCGCCAAAUUGUCAUGAACAUGACUUCACAGAGUGGUGCUACAUGUCCGCCCCCUUUUUGGCCGUAUAACAACCAGCCUCCUCCUCCUCCUCCUCCAACUCCGCCAUUGUGCUAAUUUAAUAUUUUUUUGAAACACAUUCAAUUUGUAAUGAAUAUUAUUUAACACUAUUUUUUUGUUCUUAAUGUUUAAUAAAAUUUUAUUUGCAUAAUUGGUUUUUUUACUAUUAAUUUAUAUAAUUUUAUGUUAUUUAUUCUAAAUCAUUUUUAAUUUUUUUAAAAUACCCACCGAGGGAUUUACCGACGGAAUGUAUCACCGACGAAUUUACAGACGGAUAACGUUCGUCGGCCUUUCACCGAUAGCUAAAAAAUAUUUACUAUAUAUGCCACUAUCACCGACGGAAUAAAUUCGUUGGUAAGGUUCCAGCGGGAAGUUUUUUUUUUGGCGUGCAAUUUCCGUUUGUAAAACCAUCGAUAAUAUUUUUUUUACCGACAACCUUAGCGACGGAAUGCGGUAUUACCGACAAACAUUAUGCCGACGGACGUUUUUCGUUGGCGAUUUAGUCGGUAAAAAAAUUACUGACAAACUCUGAAUCUCAUACCGACGGAAUAUGUCCGUCGGUAAAACUGUGAAAUCUUGUAGUGAUUUAGAUUUGGGUUGGUUUUUUAUUUUUAAAUCAAUUAAAUGUUUAUUUAAGAUCAUGAAUGGACUUAUUGAGGUACCUUUUACCUAUAGCUCACUUUGAUACCCCCUCCGAUAUAUCUAACUCUUCAAUAAAGGAGCAAUUUUUCAUUACAUUCAGCACAAUAUUUAUUUCUCUAACAUGUAUGAAGAUGGCACGAGUUAAAAUGAUUGUGUAAAUUAAUUUACAAUAACGAGGCCUUCGUAUAUAGUAAUUUAUCCCAGACAAGAUGACUAAAGUACUCAAAAGAUUCAAGUAGACGUUGUUUUAACACCUUGAAGGAUUCUGAAAUUCUGCCUUGCUCGAACGCGCACAAAAUUUGCCUUUUCUUUUAUUCCUAAUCGGAUUCGUAUGCAUGCAAAAUUAAAUCACCUUGAAAACUCUUAAUCUCUAUCUCGGCUUUUAAAUAUAUAAUUUAUAGCCAUUGUAAAUUCACAAAAAAAUAUUGAUUUUUUUUUUAAUCUCUUGGGUUAUAAUAACCAUAUCUAUCCGGUGUUGUUUAUUGAAAUAUUUUUCAGUUAUUUUGGAUGAGUAUAAAAUGAAUUCAUAGUUUUUGAACUACAAAACCUAAGUUUUAUCUUGCAAACACCCCCAAAAACUUUUAGUAUUCUCAAAAACUCAAUUUUCAAUCAUAAAAUACCUUCUAAUUAGCCUAAAUGUGAAAAUCAAACCUAAUAAAAAAAAUUAUGGGUCUAAUAUACUUUUUCUAGCACGGUUAAAUGACAAGAUCAUUUUAAUCGAACUUCUUUUUUCAAGAUGAAUCUAUUAAUAUUAAAAUCGGAUUUUUUAGAUCAAAAUAUAAUCAGUCAAAUCCUUUUUUUUCUCCAUUUUCUGACCACAUUCUCUCCCUCCUCUCAAUAUUCAAUAACUUAAAAUAUAAUAAAAAUGAAUUUUUAAGAUUGAAUCAUAAAAAUUUAAAGCUAUAGAAUUAAAUAAAUCUGAAAAACAAAAACUUCAAGAACCAUAUUAAAUUUUUCUGCAACUUCUAAAAGGAUUGCAUUAUAGGAGAAUAGUUUAAUGCAUGAUAACUUGAGUCUUGCUACACAAUAAAAUUUGUUACAGUAAGAAUAACAAAUGUUUUAAUUUAGAAUAUAACUAGUUAGGUGCUCACACUACAUCGCGGGUUCACAUUUUAUUUUCAUAAAAAAUAUCAUAAAAAUUUAUAAUACAAAUAAUAAUAUUUUUUCAAUAUUAAUAAUCAUAUUUUUUCAAAUUUAUUAAUAAUAUUUAUAACACAAAUAAUAAUUUUUUUAUUAUAAUUGUAUUAAUUAUAAUAAAAAUAAAAUAUUUAUAACAUAAAUGAUAAUAUUUUUAAUAGUAAUACUAUUAAUUAUAAUAAAAAUAAUAAUAUUUAUAGCACAAAUGACACUAUUUUUAAUAUUAAUACUUUAAAUUAUAAAAAAUAUAUAUAUUUAAAAUACAAAUAAUUAUAUUUAGAAACCUAAAACCUAAGAACCUUGGGUUUUGAUAAAGGAUCCAAUAGAAUUAGGUUCUGACGCAAGACCCUUUAAGCUUGGGUCUUGAUACGGGACUCAAGACAAUCGGGUCCUGACACAGGACCCGAUUCGAAAGGUAAAAAUAUAAAUUAUUGUUCUUAUUAUCAUUAUUAUCAAUAAUAAAUUUGACAUAAAAUAUUAUUACCACCAAAGAAAAACUAUAUAGUUGAUUUGAAGGAUAAAAUUAAUAUUAAUAAUAAUAAUAAUAAUAAUAAUUAUUAUUAUUAUUAUUAUUAUUAUUAUUAUUAUUAUUAUAUGUGCUAUAGAUAUUAUUAUUUUUAUUAUAAUUGAAGGUAUUAAUAUUAAAAAUAAUAUUAUUUGUGUUAUAAGUAUUAAUAUUUCUAUUAUAGUUCAAAGUAUUAUUAUUUAUGGUAAAAAUAUUAUUAUUUUUAUUAUCAUUGAAGGUAUUAAUAUUAAAAACAGUAUUAUUUAUGGUAUAAAUAUUAUUAUUUAACUUGUCUGCCUAAAUGUUUAUAUUUUUGAGUCUUUAAAAAACAAUUGUGGUUUUUCUUCGAUAGUAAUAAUAGUUUUUUUUAAUUUAUUGAUGAUGAUGAUGAUGAUAAUUUUUAAUUUUACCUUUCAAAAUAAAAUUUAUGGUUGUUUUUCAAUAUUACUAAUAUUUGUUUUUCAAAUUUAUUUAUUAUUUUAUUAAUAAUAUUAAUUAUAAUUAAAAUAAUAAUAUUUAUAAGACAAAUAAUAAUAUUUUUAUUAUAAUAAAAAUAAUAAUAUUUAUAACACAAAUGAUAAUAUUUGUAAAUUCACAAAACAAUAUUGAUUUUUUUUUAAUCUCUAGGGUUAUAAUAACAAUAUCUAUCCGGUGUUGUUUAUUGAAAUAUUUUUCAGUUAUUUUGGAUGAGUAUAAAAUCAAGUCAUAGUUUUUGAACUACAAAACCUAAGUUUUAUCUUGCCCCAAAAACUUUUAGUAUUCUCAAAAACUCAAUUUUCAAUCAUAAAACACAUUCUAAUUAGUCUGAAAGGUGAAAAUCAAACUUAAUAAAAAAAAUUAUAAGUCUAAUAUACUUUUUUUAGCAUGGUUAAAUGACAAGAUUAUUUUCAUCGAACUUCUAUUUUCAAGACGAAUAUUAAUAUUAAAAUCAGUUUUUUUAGAAGGGAAUAUGAUUAGUCAAAUCCUUUUUUUUUCUUCAUUUUCUGACCACAUUCUCUCUCUCCUCUCAAUAUUCAAUAACUAAAAAUAUAAUAAAAAUAAAGUUUUAAGAUUGAAUCAUAAAAAUUUAUAGGAUUAAAUAAAUCUGAAAAACAAAAACUUCAAGGACCAUAUUAAAUUUUUCUGCAUCUUCUUAAAGGAUUGCAUUAUAGGAGAAAAGUUUAAUGCAUGAUAACUUGAGUCUUGCUACACAAUAAAAUUUGUUACAGUAAGAAUAACAAAUGUUUUAAUUUAGAAUAUAAAUAGUGGGUUCACUUUUUUAUAUAUAUAUAAAACAUAUCAUACAAAUAAUAAUAUUUUUUCAAUAUUAAUAAUAAUAUUUUUUCAAUAUUAAUAAUAAUAUUUUUUCAAAUUUAGUAAUUAUUUUAUUAAUAAUAUUUAUAACACAAUUGAUAAUAUUUUUAAUAUUACUACUAUUAAUUAUAAUAAAAAUAAUUAUAUUUAUAGCACAAAUGACACUAUUUUUAAUAUUAAUACUUUAAAUUAUAAUAAAAAUAAUUAUAUUUAAAAUACAAAUAAUUAUAUUUAGAAACCUAAAACCCAAGAACCUUGGGUCUUGAUGAAGGACCCAAUAGAAUUGGGUUCUGACGCAAGACCCUUUAAGCUUGGGUCCUGAUACUAGACUUAAGACAAUCGGGUCCUGACGCAGGAACCAAUUCAAAAACGGAUAAUUCCAACUCUGGCGUUGGUAACUAUUACGUAGCUAUAAAAUAAAUUUAGAUCAAUAUUUUUUUAUUCCUAACUUUAAAGCUAUUGAAUAAAAAAAUAAACUAAAUUCAUCUUAUUACGCAUUCACAUAUUUUUUAUUUCUUAUGUAGUUAAAUAAAAAAACAAAAAAAACAAUUAAAUCAGUGUUUUUAUUCAUGACUCUAGCGUCAGUGAAUAAACAAAAAAAAUAUUAUUUUUUCAUACAUGCACAUAUUUUUUUUUGCUAAAUAAAAUAAAAUAUAACGAAUAAAAAUAAUAUAAAUUUAAACCAGUAUUUUAUUCCCGACUCUGGCGUUGGUAAAUAAAUCAGUAAAUUUAUAUUAUUUUUAUUCAUGAAUACACAUAUUUUUUUAUUUUUUUAUUUUUUAUUUUUUUGGGGCUGGGCCCAGCUCAGCCCACAUGGGCUGGGCUAGCCCAGCCGGCCCAGCCCGGUCACUGGCCCAAGCCAGUGACCCGGCUGGGUCACAGCACGCAUGAACUAGUUUCAUGCGUGCAUGGCGCUGCGCGAAGGUAAUUAAUUACCUUCGCACACUGCUAAAUGCACUGAACUUUCGAAAGUUAAAAAACGAAGAAAACAGAGGAAGCUUACCUUGUUGCAGGUUGCUUCGCCGGAGUGUCAGCGUGUCGGGCGACGAUCAGUGGUGGCGUCCGUCAACAGUAAGCUAUAAUUCCUCCUUCGACCUCUGCCUUACUGCCCUCUGUUUCCUCUGCCCUCGUCUGAAAAAUUAUUCAUGUGCUCUGUUUUUCAAAUUCUCUCUACUCUCUCUCGGUUUGUUUCUGUUUUCGUUGUUUUAAGGCCGGUAUUGGUGAGGGAAAGGUUCACUUCUGGUAUGGGGUUCUAAAAAAAACUUAAAAAUUCGGCUGGUAUCUUUGUGUUUCUCUCUUGGGGUUUCGUUCGUCCCUCUCUCUCUCUAGCCAACCCCUGUUCUUCGGUGCUCCUCGGUUUAUAUAGAGCUCGGGCGGUAGGCUGAGGGUCGACCACCAUUAAGGCGCCCCUAACUGAAGCCAACGGACGACGAUUACUGCUGCAACGUUCUCCCUCCUUUACUGUAGAAAACGGUCACUGGCUUAAAGGAGAAGAAGAUGAACAGCGUCUUCAAAACGACGCCGUUUGGGAUAUGAGAUGGCCAUUUGCGUUUUGACCCGUGAAGUUUCGCAACUUUUAUAAUUAAGCCCCUGGUUUAAACUGUAAUUUCUCCUGCAUUUCGGCGCCUUUUACAAGUUAGUCCUUGGACUUUAAUCUGUUGCAAUCGUGCCCUAAUUAACCCCAAACUUUGCUAUUUCUUCAAUUAAGUCCCUAAGUUCAUUAAUUUAAUUCAAUCCAAGUCCAAUUAAGUCUCAAAACUUAUCAAUUAUCCAAUUAAGCCCCUGAUUGGAUUAAUUAAAUUAAUUCCAAGAUUAAAUAAGUCUCAAAACGUAUCAAUUUUCCAAUUAAACCCUUGAUUGGAUGAAUUAAAUUAAUUUCAAGCUUACUUAAGUCUCAAAACUUAUCAAUUCUUCAAUUAAAUCCUUGAUUGGAUUUAAUUAAAUUAAUUCCAAGUUUAAUUAAGUCUUAAAACUUAUCAAUUCUCUAAUUAAACCCUUGAUUUGAUUAAUUAAACAAGUAAAAAAUUUAAUUUAAAUCUUUAAACUUCCAAUCAUGUUACCCUUAACCCAAAUUUUAAUUCAUUCUUCAUUUAUUUCAUUUUUAUUAUUUAUUUUUCAUCAUCAUUAUUAUAUUUUUUUUCAUUAUUUUUCUUUUUAUCAUUUUCCAGUAAAUAAAAUAAUAAUAAUAAUUAAAAUAAAAUGGUCAAAAAUUGGGUUAUGACAACAUCUAUGGAAAUUCAAUCAUUUAAAAAAAUUCGGCAGCACCUCCCCUGUACUGAAGACUACCCACAAUUUAUAAACCUGCAAUCUUUACAAUAACCACAAUCCAAUUGACUCCAGCAACAUAAUAUAUACAACCUAACAUCUAUGAAAAUUCAAUCAUUUAAAAAAAUUCGACAGCACCUCCUAUAUAUUAGAGACUAUCUACAGUUUUCAUACCUACAAAUAUUAAUAAUUACACAAAUAUUGCAAAAUCAACUCUAUACAACCUAACAUAUAUAUACAACCUAACAUCUAUAGAAAUUCAACAUCUAUAUUUUUUCAACUAACAUCAAUAGAAAUUCAUAAAUAACAAUUAAAAUUAAUCAAAAUAAUAAACAACAUAACAAACAAUAAUAUCCUAAAAUUAAGAUAAACUAAUUAAACUUAAUUCUAUAUUUCAAUUAACAUUUUAAAUAUAAAUUCAACAACAAUAAUUAUUGCAAAACAAACAAUAAUAUCCUAAAAUUAAGAUAAACUAAUUAAAUUUAAUUCUAUAUUUCAAUUAAUAUUUUAAACAUAAAUUCAAUAACAACAAUUAUUGCAAAACAAACAAUAAUAUCCUAAAAUUAAGAUAAACUAAUUAAAUUUAAUUCUAUAUUUCAAUUAACAUUUUAAACAUAAAUUCUUAAAAUCUAUUGUUUUUUUUCAAUAUUAAUAAUAUUUUUUUUUCAAAUUUAUUUAUUAUUUUAUUAAUAAUAUUAAUUAUAAUUAAAAUAAUAAUAUUUAUAAGACAAAUAAUAAUAUUUUUAUUAUAAUAAAAAUAAUAAUAUUUAUAACACAAAUUAUAAUAUUUUUAAUAUUAAUACCUACAAUAAUAAUAAAAUAAUAAUAUUUAUAAGACAAAUUAUAUUAUUUUUCAUAUUAAUACUUUUAAUUAUAAUAAAAAUAAUAAUAUUUAAAAUACAAAUAAUUAUAUUUAGAAAGCUAAGACCCAAGAAGGAUCCAAUAGAAUUGGGUCCUGACGCAAGACCUAUUAAGUUUGGGUCCUGACGCCGGACCUAAGACAAUCGGGUUCUGAUGCUGGAUUCAAGAGAAUUUGGUCCUGACGCAUGACCCAUUACCCUUAGGUCCUAACACAGGACCCAAGCGAAUUGGGUCCUGACGCAGGACCCAUUAGAGUUGGGGUCCUAGGGCAGGAUUUAAGAGCAUUGAGUUCUAACGCAAACCAAUUACCAUUGGAUCCUAGUGCACGACCCAAGUGAAUUGUGUCCUGAGACAGGACCUAUUAGACUUGGACCCUUAGGCAGGAGCCAAGAGCAUUGGGUCCUGGCGCAUUUGAAAUAAAAUAUUAUUACCACCAAAGAAAAACCAUAUAGUUGAUUUGAAGGAUAAAAUUAAAAAUUAAAAUAGUAUUAUUUGUGUUAUAAAUAUUAAUAUUUUUAUUAUAGUUCAAAGUAUUAAUAUAAAAAAUAUUAUUAUUUGUGUUACGAAGAUUAUUAUUUUUAUUAUCAUUGAAAGUAUUAAUAUUAAAAAUAAUAUUAUUUGUGGUAUGAAUAUUAUUAUUUGCGGUACAAAUAUUUUUAUUUUUAUUAUAAUUGAAAGUAUUAAUAUUCAAAAUAGUAUUAUUUGUGUUCUAAAUAUUAUUAUUUUUAUUAUAAUUCAAAGUAUUAAUAUAAAAAAUGCUCUUAUUUGGGGUAUAAAUAUUAUUAUUUUUAUUAUAAUUGAACUAAUAAUAUUUAGAAUAUAAAUUAUAAUAUGUUUGAUAUUAAUACUUUCAACUAUAAUAAAAAUAAUAAUAUUUAUACCCCAAAUAAUUAUAUUUAGAAACUUAAGACCCAAUAACCUAGGGUCUUGAUGCAGAACCCAUCAGCCUUGGAUCCCGACGCCGGACCACAGAGCAUUGGUCCUGUUGCAGGAUCUAAGAGUACUGGGUCUGGACGCAGGACCCAAGAGAACUGGUCCUGAUGCAGGACCCAUGAGCCUUAGGUCCCGACGCCGGACCACAGAGCACUGGUCCUGUUGCAGGAUCCAAGAGUACUGGGUCCGGACGCAGGACCCAAGAGAACUGGUCCUGAUGCAGGACCCAUGAGCCUUGGGUCUUGACGGGGACCCAAGAGAAUUGGAUCCUGACGCUGGACCCAUGAGCUUUGGGUCUCACUAGGGUUCGCGCUGACCCAGCACACAAGCAGGGAAGCCCGAGCGUAAGGUGUCCCCAUGUGGCGCGCGGGUCUGGCUCAGCGCCUAGGGCUUGCCAGCCCUAGCGCCAGGUGUUCGCAUCCCAAGGCUUGUAGCCCCACCAAAACUGGAACUGACCAUUUUCUCCCCAACCAUCCCUUCAAUGCCAAAUAUAUCCCAGUGAGAAGACAACCCCACCCCUCCCCUGCUGUCCUUGCAAAUCUAUGUGGCAAGGGCAACUUUGUCAUUACACUACUUUAAUCCACAAUAUUUUGUAUCUAGAUAAAUAGUAACAAGGGCACUGAACCUUUUUAGUAUAACAAGGAGAUUUCAAGAAGUAGUUAAAUUUAGGUUAUAUUAGAUACGACUUUUGUAAAUUGAUUUAAUUUAUUUUUUACUUUUGAUUUUAAUUUAUUUUGAAGUAUGUUAGUUAGAAUAGCUACCAGAUUAGGCAUGUAACUUAUGAAAGGGUUUGCAAGCAGAAAACAAUUAGAAAUCAGAGGAAGAUUUAGAGGAUAUAAUAUUUAGGAUCUCUAGCAAAAGCCAGCAAGGUAUCUGCUCGAAAAAACCAUUCAACAUGAGAUUGCUCUGCUAGGAAAACAUGAUAUCAGUAUCAAACUUUUGAACAAUUAGUACAGCAUCAAGUCUCAGUCAUCUUGAAAUAUAUCGACAUCAGCAUACAAAAACAUUUAUUCUGCAUUGCCAGGCCCAUUUCCAAAACCACAUAAGCAUAUGCAAUAGAAACAGAGCAUCAAACUGACAGAGAAAACAUAGUGAUGCAGCAAAUACCCAAGUCGUAGAGCCAUUAAUUUGAGCAGAAAGGAGAAUGAAAGUCCACACAUUCUUCUUCUUUCCACCCAUUAUCUCGGGUCCACUCUCUAUUAGUGCUUGAAUCCUCAGCUACUUCAGAUACCUGUAAACCAAUUCAAGCAUGGCAUACAUAUUUUAACUUCUAAAUCUUAUUAUUGAGCGAAACAAGAAACAAACACACAAAAAGAGAAGCAACAAAUCAAGACAACUCAGCAGCACCUCUGAUUGAGCUCUUAUUGAACCAUUUGGUGUAGUAGCAAAUUUUGUGAUCAGCUUUGGGCAUUCAAACACCUUCAACUUCUCUAAAUGAGGGAAUAAGAAAUCAUAACAUCCGAGACUGAAGCAUACAAUACUUGAUAAUUGUUCUAGCAACAGCACCUGCAGAUUCGGGAGCUCCAUCACCUUCUCAACAUUGACAGGUAAAGCAUUCUCUUCCUGUCCAAAUACUCCCAAUAAUUGAGAAGCUUCUCUUACUUUCAGUAUUUGGAGAUUUGGGAGACCUGAAGCCAUGCCUACUGGGAAGAGACAUUUCAACUUGUUGCAUUUUCUGACAUCAAUUUCACAUAAAUUGGGGAAGCAUAAAGAUUGAAGAUGAUCUCCUGGCACUAUCUGAUCCUUUCCAUCAUCAUUAUCCCUAGCAAUGAUUUGCUCUAAUUCCUCACAACUUUCUAUGUUUAGAAAAUUCAGUUGAACUAGACUAGCAAUCAUGCUGUCUGAGAAUACAUGUGUUAGUCUCUUACACUCAUACACCACCAAAGUAGUCAAAUUGCUCAGCACGAGACCCUUCCACAAACACCUCAUGUCAGGCACAAGCAGGGAGCCCAAGCGCAAUGUUUUCAAACUUGUUAACUCCUACAUCAAAAGACAACAAUGGCACUAAUUUGUUAGAUAUAAUUCCUAGUAUGUUUUGGUAAAUAGAUGAAUCAGUUAUCAACAAAAGGAUACAAGUAGACAUGGCAAAAGGGCAUUGGAAUAUGAAAUCAUAAGUUGCAAGACUGAAAUAGACAACUCAAUAUUAGCAAAUGGAGGUUUAUCGUCCUAUCCAAAUACUUUCAUUAAUUGGGGGAAGAGCCUCAAUUUCACUCAAACUGGGAAAGCAUAAAUCAAGGUAGGAUUUCAUUACAAUAAUUAAUUUCUUACUUCUUAAGCCCUGCGUCAAGAGACAGGGAAUGAUACAGUUAGACAACUCCUUUUAAAUUUAGUGGAUGGCUAAAGGAUUUAUCUCCACUUAUAAAUUACUUCAGUUUUAGAAAUUUGGAGGAAGAAACACAGUGUAUUGAAGUUGACAAUUUAAAAUAAAAAGCAAAAAAAUUAUUGGAGAAAUAUAAAGGACGCACUUGAAGCUUUGCCAACAAAUUACCCAAUUCUUCAUGGCCAUCAAUGAUUAGACAUUGCAAAGAAGGCAAUUGGGCAGCAAAAUUCUUAGGGCCAAAAAAGCUGAAAUUUGAUCUGGAAGAAAGAGACAAUUUUCUUAGUCGAGGGAACUUGAUGAUGCCAUCUGUGGUGAGUGCAUCUCCUUCUCCACUGUAAAAUAUUUGCUUUAAAUUAUGAGCAUAAAAAAUCCCCAUCUCUUCCAGGUUCAGAAGACUCGGAGACACAGAGACAGGGAAGACAUAUUCCAGUUUACCACACUCUUCUAUGAAGAUAGUUUUUAAUCUUGGGAAGCGAAGAGACUCUGAAAUUAUUUCCCUUUCAUCAUCCUUUUCUCUGAUAAUAUGCUUCAAUUCACCGCAAUAUCAUAUGUCAAGGGUUGCUAGCUUUGGCAGACUUUGAGCCAGGGAUGGUGUGAAGAUAAAUGUCAGUUUGUCGAGAGAAUUCAAAUUCAGAUGAACAAGAUUUUGGAGGCUGACAUGCCUAGUAGCCCCUUCCAUAUACAUCUGAGCUCAGGUAAGUCGAUCAGCAGUAACGUUGUUAAAGAUGACAGUAGCGACAGCUCCUUCUCCUCAUUGCUUUCUUCAUCCACCUCACCCAAUUCAAAUACCUCUUCCAAUGAUUUACAGCUCUCAAUAUCCACACUACUUAGAUUUUUCAAAGCUUGCAGCAAUUUUGCUGGAAAAGGAGUGCGAACAUCCCCACAAUCGUUCACUUCUACAAAUCUUAAUCUUUGUAAGAAGCCCUUUUGCUGUAUAAAUAUUAUAUUUUUUAAACCCUUCACUCUCAUAAAAACAAUUUAUAUGAUGCAUAAAUAGGAAAAAAAUUUUAUAAAGUACGUACUUGUAGCUGUGCCAACCAAUUACCCAAUUCUUUGCGGCCAUGAAUGGUUAGUUUUUGCAAAGAAGGCAAUUGGACAGCAAAAUUCCGUGGACCUAAAAAGCUGUAAUUUGAUCCGAGCCGAAGAGACAAUUCUUUUAGUUGAGGGAACUUGAUGAUGUCAUCUCUGGUAAGUGCAUCUCCUUCUCCACCGUAAAAUAUUUGCUUUAAAUUGUCAGCAUAAUAAAUCGUCAUCUGUUCCAGGUUCGGAAGACUUGGAGACACAGAGACUGGGAAGACAUAUUCCAGUUUACCACAUCCUGAUACAAGGAGAGUUUUUAAUUUUGGGAAGCCUGGAGACUCUGGAAUUAUCUCCCUUUCACCAUCCUGUUCUCUGAUAAUAUGCUUCAAUUCACCGCAUUUUUCUAUCUCAAGUGUUUCUAGCUGUGGUAGACUUUGAGCGAGGGACGGUGUGAAGAUAAAUGUCAGUUUGUCGAGAGACCAAACCUUCAGAUGAGCAAGACUUUGGAGGCUGACAUGUCUGGUGGCCCCCUUCCAUAUGCAUUUGAGCUCAGGUAACCCUUGCAGCUCUAACAUUGUUAAAGAUGAUAGCAGCGGCAUCUCUUUCUCCUCAUUGCUUUCUUCAUCAACCUCACCCAAUUCAAAUACCUCUUCCAAUGAUUUGCAGCUGUCAAUAAUCACCUUCUUUAGAUGUUUCAAAGCUUGCCGCAAUUUUGCUGGAAACAGAGUGCAAAUAUCCCCACAACGCUGCACUUGUACGAAUUCUAAUCUCUGUAAGAAGCCCUUUUGGAGCUCAUGGCCAUGGUUGGUCAUGUGAUCAGAGUGCAAUUCUAUAUUUUUUAAACCCUCUAAACUCGUAAAAAUAAUUUGGGACACCGUAGGAAACAACAGCUCAAAUGUCAUCACAUUUAAGGAUGUGGCGCUUGUACCAGCCAAAUUUAAUCUUGUCGAGGUUGGGUAUCCUCCUGCAUCAAACCGAUUCCCUAAUACUAUAUCAUAUUUGUGCAAGCUAGGAAAAACAAAAUCUCUGGGAAUGCAUUCCACCUUCGGUAUCCUUAAUGAUAAUACAGCUAACUGAGACAACGAAUUUAGUUCUUUUAGGCUUGCAUUCAUUCCUCCUGUGCUGUCACAUCCAACAACAUCCCAUUCCUCAAAGCUGCCAUCCCCGAUCAACAAUUCUUCUAACUUCUUCAACCUUCCAAUCAAAUUCACAGGAAUCCUACUGAGCCUUUCACAACCUGUCACAUCCAACAACCUUAACUCCUUGAGCUCUCCUAUUUCAUCAGGUAAUUCUUCAAUGGAUAAGCACCACAUAAGACCAAGAAUCUUAAGUCUCUGCAGCUUUCUCAACCAAAUGAGGUCCUUGCAUCCACACAUGAUCAACACCAAAGAUUGAAGUUUCGUUGAUAGUUCAAGUGAUUGCAAUGACAAACGCCCUCCGUUCAGAGACAAAACUUCAAUUUCUCUUAUCCCUUCAAAAAACCUCUGAGGAACAUUCAAACCAUAAUCCACUUCUAAUAAUAGAACUUUGAGCUUUGGACAUACCAAUCCUUCAGGAAGUUCUGCUAGUUUAUUGCCCAUUAACGAAAUUGUUGUACAACCUUCAAAGCUUGUAUUGCUCAUUGGCCACUUCUGCAACCCAAUGCCAGCCUUUACCAUGAAUCCAUAUUCUUCUGAUGAUGCUAUCUGAAUAGCAAAGUCAUGCAUUUUCACAUGUUCUCCAGUUUCAGUGCCCAACAGCAUGCAACAAUCUUUGAGGUUUUCGAUUGCCACAAAAACUCGUUUCCUUGCAUCUUCGAUGGGCUCCGCAUCUUGAUGUAACCCAUAGCCAACUGCAUAUCUCAUCAAGUCCUCGAUUGGAAUAUCAUAGUCUUCUGGAAAUAAACAGCAUAGCACGAAACAUGACUUGGUUUCCUCGAACUUCAAAUAAUCAUAGCUCAACUUAAGACAUGUAUAAGCAUUUUUUUGUUUGUCAAUUUGUUCCAUGCGCGGAAAUUGAGAGUCUUUGAGCUGUUUAGACGCUACUUCCCACUGAACUAGAGAUUUAUCUCUUAGAGCCCUUCCCACUGUCACAAGUGCUAUAGGCAAGCCAUGGCAUUCUCUCGCAACCUCCCUUGCCACUGUGUUCAAGGUAGAGUCCCCAUCACGUAAACCUGCAUUGAUUCUGAAUAAAGCCAAUGCUUCAUCUUCAGAUAAGACUCUUAAAAACACUUUUUGCUGGCACUCCAUAGAAGAACAUAUGUGUUCAAAACGUGUUGUUAGAAGAAUUUUAC